rnacentral:rRNA from 1 species
GACGAACGCUGGCGGCGUGCCUAAUACAUGCAAGUCGAGCGGAACUGGGGGAGCUUGCUCCUUCCAGUUUAGCGGCGGACGGGUGAGUAACACGUGGGCAACCUGCCCUGCAGAUCGGGAUAACUCCGGGAAACCGGUGCUAAUACCGAAUAGUUUGGCGCCUCUCCUGAGGCGCCACGGAAAGACGGUUUCGGCUGUCACUGCAGGAUGGGCCCGCGGCGCGUUAGCUAGUUGGUGGGGUAACGGCCCACCAAGGCGACGGUGCGUAGCCGACCUGAGAGGGUGAUCGGCCACACUGGGACUGAGACACGGCCCAGACUCCUACGGGAGGCAGCAGUAGGGAAUCGUCCGCAAUUGACGCAAGUCUGACGGAGCAACGCCGCGUGGGUGACGAAGGUUUUCGGAUCGUAAAACUCUGUUGUGAGGGAAGAACACGUACCAACUAACUAUUGGUACCUUGACGGUACCUCACCAGAAAGCCACGGCUAACUACGUGCCAGCCGCCGCGGUAA